GUGAACGCUGGCGGUAGGCCUAACACAUGCAAGUCGAACGGCAGCACAGUAAGAGCUUGCUCUUACGGGUGGCGAGUGGCGGACGGGUGAGGAAUACAUCGGAAUCUACUUUUUCGUGGGGGAUAACGUAGGGAAACUUACGCUAAUACCGCAUACGACCUACGGGUGAAAGCAGGGGAUCUUCGGACCUUGCGCGAUUGAAUGAGCCGAUGUCGGAUUAGCUAGUUGGCGGGGUAAAGGCCCACCAAGGCGACGAUCCGUAGCUGGUCUGAGAGGAUGAUCAGCCACACUGGAACUGAGACACGGUCCAGACUCCUACGGGAGGCAGCAGUGGGGAAUAUUGGACAAUGGGCGCAAGCCUGAUCCAGCCAUACCGCGUGGGUGAAGAAGGCCUUCGGGUUGUAGAGCCCUUUUGUUGGGAAAGAAAAGCAGCAGGUUAAUACCCCGCUGUUCUGACGGUACCCAAAGAAUAAGCACCGGCUAACUUCGUG
rnacentral:rRNA from 1 species